UACCAGCACCCCGAGUUGUCGGGACGAUUAUUGGGCCUAAAGCAUCCGUAGCCUGUUCUGCAAGUCCUCCGUUAAAUCCACCUGCUCAACGGAUGGGCUGCGGAGGAUACCGCAGAGCUAGGAGGCGGGAGAGGCAAACGGUACUCAGUGGGUAGGGGUAAAAUCCAUUGAUCUACUGAAGACCACCAGUGGCGAAGGCGGUUUGCCAGAACGCGCUCGACGGUGAGGGAUGCAAGCUGGGGGAGCAAACCGGAGGCGAAACCCGCGUAGUCC
rnacentral:rRNA from 1 species